UUGAACGCUGGCGGAAUGCUUUACACAUGCAAGUCGAACGGCAGCACGGGGGCAGCCCUGGUGGCGAGUGGCGAACGGGUGAGUAAUACAUCGGAACGUGCCCGGUCGUGGGGGAUAACGUAGCGAAAGUUACGCUAAUACCGCAUACGAUCUGAGGAUGAAAGCGGGGGACCUUCGGGCCUCGCGCGAUCGGAGCGGCCGAUGUCAGAUUAGGUAGUUGGUGGGGUAAAGGCCUACCAAGCCGACGAUCUGUAGCUGGUCUGAGAGGACGACCAGCCACACUGGGACUGAGACACGGCCCAGACUCCUACGGGAGGCAGCAGUGGGGAAUUUUGGACAAUGGGCGCAAGCCUGAUCCAGCCAUGCCGCGUGCAGGACGAAGGCCUUCGGGUUGUAAACUGCUUUUGUACGGAACGAAAAGGCUCUGGCUAAUACCUGGGGCUCAUGACGGUACCGUAAGAAUAAGCACCGGCUAACUACGUG
rnacentral:rRNA from 1 species